GGUCUGUUUUUCCGUCGCUUUGCAGCCUAUAUUGGGGGUGCCGGCUUGCCGGCUAUGGAAAUAAACGACCGUCGAAAUAAACCAUUCGGACCCGGGGGCGGUACCCGGCGCCUCCACCAGAGCCCAUGCGGAACGCAAGCCGUGGGUUCCGGCGGGGGCGAAAUAGGAUCGACGAGGGCGUAAAGGGCGUGUUUUUUCUCGGUAUGGUUCCGCCGAUAUCGGGCCAAUGCAAUAGUUGCCAACGACAACUAUGCUCCGGUUGCUCAGGCUGCGUAACGCAGUUUGAAAGACCACUUUAAAGCCCUAGCGGGUUAAGCUCCGCUAGGCGGGGUUCGGAGGCACCUGGCAACAGAAGCCUCCACU
rnacentral:tmRNA from 1 species